rnacentral:pre_miRNA from 1 species
CAAAUACUCCCUCUGUCCCAAAAUUCUUGUCUUAGAUUUGUCUAGAUACGGAUGUAUCUAAUACUAAAAUGUGACUUGAUACAUCUGUAUCUAGACAAAUCUAAGACAAGAAUUUUGGGACAGAGGGAGUACUUA